AGAGUUUGAUCCUGGCUCAGAUUGAACGCUGGCGGCAGGCCUAACACAUGCAAGUCGAGCGGUAGCACAGAGAGCUUGCUCUCGGGUGACGAGCGGCGGACGGGUGAGUAAUGUCUGGGAAACUGCCUGAUGGAGGGGGAUAACUACUGGAAACGGUAGCUAAUACCGCAUAACGUCGCAAGACCAAAGUGGGGGACCUUCGGGCCUCAUGCCAUCAGAUGUGCCCAGAUGGGAUUAGCUAGUAGGUGGGGUAACGGCUCACCUAGGCGACGAUCCCUAGCUGGUCUGAGAGGAUGACCAGCCACACUGGAACUGAGACACGGUCCAGACUCCUACGGGAGGCAGCAGUGGGGAAUAUUGCACAAUGGGCGCAAGCCUGAUGCAGCCAUGCCGCGUGUGUGAAGAAGGCCUUCGGGUUGUAAAGCACUUUCAGCGGGGAGGAAGGCGUUAAGGUUAAUAACCUCAUCGAUUGACGUUACCCGCAGAAGAAGCACCGGCUAACUCCGUGCCAGCAGCCGCGGUAAUACGGAGGGUGCAAGCGUUAAUCGGAAUUACUGGGCGUAAAGCGCACGCAGGCGGUCUGUCAAGUCGGAUGUGAAAUCCCCGGGCUCAACCUGGGAACUGCAUUCGAAACUGGCAGGCUAGAGUCUUGUAGAGGGGGGUAGAAUUCCAGGUGUAGCGGUGAAAUGCGUAGAGAUCUGGAGGAAUACCGGUGGCGAAGGCGGCCCCCUGGACAAAGACUGACGCUCAGGUGCGAAAGCGUGGGGAGCAAACAGGAUUAGAUACCCUGGUAGUCCACGCCGUAAACGAUGUCGAUUUGGAGGUUGUGCCCUUGAGGCGUGGCUUCCGGAGCUAACGCGUUAAAUCGACCGCCUGGGGAGUACGGCCGCAAGGUUAAAACUCAAAUGAAUUGACGGGGGCCCGCACAAGCGGUGGAGCAUGUGGUUUAAUUCGAUGCAACGCGAAGAACCUUACCUGGUCUUGACAUCCACAGAACUUUCCAGAGAUGGAUUGGUGCCUUCGGGAACUGUGAGACAGGUGCUGCAUGGCUGUCGUCAGCUCGUGUUGUGAAAUGUUGGGUUAAGUCCCGCAACGAGCGCAACCCUUAUCCUUUGUUGCCAGCGGUUAGGCCGGGAACUCAAAGGAGACUGCCAGUGAUAAACUGGAGGAAGGUGGGGAUGACGUCAAGUCAUCAUGGCCCUUACGACCAGGGCUACACACGUGCUACAAUGGCAUAUACAAAGAGAAGCGACCUCGCGAGAGCAAGCGGACCUCAUAAAGUAUGUCGUAGUCCGGAUUGGAGUCUGCAACUCGACUCCAUGAAGUCGGAAUCGCUAGUAAUCGUAGAUCAGAAUGCUAUGGUGAAUACGUUCCCGGGCCUUGUACACACCGCCCGUCACACCAUGGGAGUGGGUUGCAAAAGAAGUAGGUAGCUUAACCUUCGGGAGGGCGCUUACCACUUUGUGAUUCAUGACUGGGGUGAAGUCGUAACAAGGUAACCGUAGGGGAACCUGCGGCUGGAUCACCUCCUUA
rnacentral:rRNA from 1 species